CUUGGGUUGUAAACCCCUUUUCUCUGGGAAGAAAGUUGUGAAAGCAACCUGACGGUACCAGAGGAAUCAGCAUCGGCUAACUCCGUGCCAGCAGCCGCGGUAAGACGGAGGAUGCAAGCGUUAUCCGGAAUGAUUGGGCGUAAAGCGUCCGCAGGUGGCAGUUCAAGUCUGCUGUCAAAGACCGGGGCUUAACUUCGGAAAGGCAGUGGAAACUGAACAGCUAGAGUAUGGUAGGGGCAGAGGGAAUUCCUGGUGUAGCGGUGAAAUGCGUAGAGAUCAGGAAGAACAUCGGUGGCGAAGGCGCUCUGCUGGACCAUAACUGACACUCAGGGACGAAAGCUAGGGG
rnacentral:rRNA from 1 species